rnacentral:misc_RNA from 1 species
GGAAGUAAAAGUCUAACAAGGUUUCCGUAGGUGAAUCUGCGGAAGGAUCAUUAUUGUAUAACCGAGGUGCGAGGGCUGUCGCUGACCCGAAAGGUCGUGCACGCCCGAGUGCCCUCACACACAUCCAUCUCACCCCUAUGUGCACCACCGCGUGGGUCCCCCUUUGGCUUGUUCGGAGGGGGGCUUACGUUUUCACACAAACUUUGUAUGCAGUGUAGAAUGUAUUUUUUGUUUUUGCGAUCACGCAAUCAAUACAACUUUCAACAACGGAUCUCUUGGCUCUC